CGCUGGAUCAACGCAUACAUCACUCCCCAUGCUAAUGCACGAGCUCACGAAGAUUUACGCGAUGAAUAAACGGAUAUGCGCCGAUUCACUUUUCCGAAAAUCAAGGUAAGCCUAUAGCCCACUAAGAUGUCGCCACAGCCAGGUCCAAUCACGUGUCUCCAAAGCGUUGGAUCAACGCUUACAUCACUCCCCGUGCUAAUGCACUUACUCACGAAGAUGUACACGAUGAAUAAACGGAGUUGGGCAUAUUCCCUUUCCUGAAAAAAAGCUGAGCCUAUAGCCCAUUAAAAUAUCGGCAUAGCCAGGCCUAAUCGAUUGUCUCAAAAGUGCUGGGUCAACGCAUACAUCACUCCCCGUUUUAAUGCACAUGCUCACGAAGAUUUACGCGAUGAAUAAACGGAUAUGCGCCGAUUCACUAUUCUGAAAAACGAGGGAAGCCUAUAGCCCAUUAAGGUGUCGGCACAGUCGGGUCCAAUCACGUGUUUCCAAAGCGUUGGAUCAACGCAUACAUCACUUCCCGAGCUAAUGCACUUACUCACGAAGAUGUACACGAUGAAUAAACGGAGUGGGGCAGAUUGCCUUUCCUGAAAAAAACCUAGGCCUAUAGCCCGGCCAUUAAAAUAUCGGCACAGCCAGCUCUAAUCGAUUGUCUCCAAAGCGCUGGAUCAACGCAUACAUCACUCCCCAUGCUAAUACACAUGCUCACGAAGAUUUACGCGAUGAAUAAACGGAUAUGCGCAGAUUCCCUUUUCC
rnacentral:lncRNA from 1 species